GAUGAACGCUGGCGGCGUGCCUAACACAUGCAAGUCGAGCGAACGGACCAGCAGCUUGCUUCUCUGAUCUUAGCGUCGGACGGGUGAGUAACACGUGGAUAACCUGCCUAUAACACUGAGAUAACUUCUAAAAACCGGAGCUAAUGCCGAAUACUCUUUUGAACCGCAUGGUUCAACAGUUAGAGACGGUCUUGCUGUCACUUAUAGGUGAUUCCGCGCUGCCUUAGCUGGUUGGUAAUGUAACGGUUUCCCACGGCAACGAUGCAUAGCCGACCUCGGAGGGUGAUCGGCCACACUGGAACUGAGACACGGUCCAGACUCCUACGGGAGGCAGCAGUAGGGGAUCUUCCGCAAUGGGCGAAAGCCUGACGGAGCAACGCCGCGUGAGUGAUGAAGGUCUUCGGAUCGUAAAACUCUGUUAUUAGGGAAGAACAUAUGUGUAAGUAACUGUGCACAUCUUGACGGUACCUAAACAGAAAGCAACGGCUAACUACGUG
rnacentral:rRNA from 1 species